rnacentral:lncRNA from 1 species
UAUGUUUCUGCCAUGUGCUUACGGUUUAUGUUUAUGUUUCUGUUAGUUGUGGGUUGCUAUAUACUUAUACCUUAGUAAUCAGGUGCUAAUAAAAUUUGAUCAACUAAAAAUGCUUAAUGCAGUCAACCAGUCAGCCUUUCCUUGUUUAACCCUUGCAUUCAUAUUCUCCUCACACUUGCUGAGUACGACAAGUGCUCACCCUUGCUAUAACUAACGUUGCUCAGAAGAAGAAGCUGCUAUGAGGUUGUUGUGAAGAUGGUGCUGAGUUCUAGGCGUACGCAGCCCCCAGUCGUUUGCCUGUGAAGUUUGGAACCUCCGUUUCCAUAAUUAAGCUGUAUAACUCUGAUGGUUUCGUAAGUCUUUAUUUGUAUCUUUUUACGUGAUACUGUUGCUGUUAUUCACUAAUGAUGUCACUAUAUGUAUGAAACUUGAUCCUAGCAUACAUAUA